rfam:Musa acuminata subsp. malaccensis Doubled-haploid Pahang (DH-Pahang) genomic chromosome, chr1
UCUGCAGGAUAGUGUGUAUCGGUGUUAUGUUAGCGCUGCCAUGCAUUUCUUGCCGAAAGUGUUUCCUGCUAAAGCAAUCUUGCGGAAAAUGGGCAGUUGGGAUGAACCCUAACCAUCCACUGGGUGUCUCGACAAUCAUUUUCCUCACAUUU